rnacentral:rRNA from 1 species
CCUACGGGAGGCAGCAGUGGGGAAUUUUGGACAAUGGGCGAAAGCCUGAUCCAGCAAUGCCGCGUGAGUGAAGAAGGCCUUCGGGUUGUAAAGCUCUUUUGUCAGGGAAGAAACGGUGAGAGCUAAUAUCUCUUGCUAAUGACGGUACCUGAAGAAUAAGCACCGGCUAACUACGUGCCAGCAGCCGCGGUAAUACGUAGGGUGCAAGCGUUAAUCGGAAUUACUGGGCGUAAAGCGUGCGCAGGCGGUUUUGUAAGUCUGAUGUGAAAUCCCCGGGCUCAACCUGGGAAUUGCAUUGGAGACUGCAAGGCUAGAAUCUGGCAGAGGGGGGUAGAAUUCCACGUGUAGCAGUGAAAUGCGUAGAUAUGUGGAGGAACACCGAUGGCGAAGGCAGCCCCCUGGGUCAAGAUUGACGCUCAUGCACGAAAGCGUGGGGAGCAAACAGGAUUAGAUACCCUGGUAGUCCACGCCCUAAACGAUGUCUACUAGUUGUCGGGUCUUAAUUGACUUGGUAACGCAGCUAACGCGUGAAGUAGACCGCCUGGGGGUAGGUUACGGUUCGUCGAGAGUUAAACGUUACAAUUAGAGUUAGACGGCGUUGAGACGNGCCGACGGACGACGACGAGGGAGGUAGGAG